CUUGGAUCCAGCCUAUCCGGAUCCCUCUGUAGAGCCUUCCUACCCUCACAUAUAUUGGCACUUCUGCCCAACUUGGUGUUGCCUGCAAAAAGAUAACCUUCUGUGUCUGCUUUGAAAAGGAACUAAGGAUCUUCAGGGCCUCUAAUGCCUUCCAGCAUGAGUAAGAUCAAAUGAAAAAGAAGGUAUGAAAAAACAGGGGACAGUGAAGGGAAGUCAGAGGCAGAAGCCACACUCUAGUCUCACAGACGAGGAAAAAGAAUCAAAAUGAUGAUGCUAUACUUAAGUUCUUAUGUAGCUGAUGAUCCAAGGAGAAGGGUAGCAAACACCUCCUAGUCUGUUCUGAGGCAGUGUUGCAGGACAGAGGAACAGCACGGAAAUGGUAAAAUACAGCCUCA